rnacentral:tRNA from 1 species
AGGGACUUAGGUUAAAAUUAAGACCAAGGGCCUUCAAAGCCCUAAGCGGGGGUGUAAAUCUCCCAGACCCUG